UACGUAGGGAGCAAGCGUUGUCCGGAAUUAUUGGGCGUAAAGAGCUCGUAGGCGGCUUGUCGCGUCGGUUGUGAAAGCCCGGGGCUUAACCCCGGGUCUGCAGUCGAUACGGGCAGGCUAGAGUUCGGUAGGGGAGAUCGGAAUUCCUGGUGUAGCGGUGAAAUGCGCAGAUAUCAGGAGGAACACCGGUGGCGAAGGCGGAUCUCUGGGCCGAUACUGACGCUGAGGAGCGAAAGCGUGGGGAGCAAACGGG
rnacentral:rRNA from 1 species